UGCAGUCGAGCGGGAGAAUCAUCCUUCGGGAUGAGGAUCCAGCGGCGAACGGGUGAGUAACACGUGGGCAACCUGCCCGCAAGACCGGGAUAACUCCGGGAAACCGGGGCUAAUACCGGAUAGGCCUUUUCCCCGCAUGGGGAAAAGGGGAAAGGCGGCUUCGGCUGUCACUUGCGGAUGGGCCCGCGGCGCAUUAGCUGGUUGGUGAGGUAACGGCUCACCAAGGCGACGAUGCGUAGCCGACCUGAGAGGGUGAUCGGCCACACUGGGACUGAGACACGGCCCAGACUCCUACGGGAGGCAGCAGUAGGGAAUUUUCCGCAAUGGGCGAAAGCCUGACGGAGCAACGCCGCGUGAGUGAGGACGGCCUUCGGGUUGUAAAACUCUGUUCUUGAGGAAGAAUUCCUUCCAGGCGAACAGCCUGGAAGGUUGACGGUACUCAAGGAGAAAGCCCCGGCUAACUACGUGCCAGCAGCCGCGGUAAUACGUAGGGGGCGAGCGUUAUCCGGAAUUAUUGGGCGUAAAGCGCGCGCAGGCGGCUGAUUAAGUCAGGUGUGAAAGGCUGCGGCUCAACCGCAGAGCGGCACCUGAAACUGGUCAGCUUGAGUGCAGGAGAGGGGAGCGGAAUUCCCGGUGUAGCGGUGGAAUGCGUAGAGAUCGGGAGGAACACCAGUGGCGAAGGCGGCUCUCUGGCCUGUAACUGACGCUGAGGCGCGAAAGCGUGGGGNAGCAAACAGGAUUAGAUACCCUGGUAGUCCACGCCGUAAACGAUGAGUGCUAGGUGUUGGGGGGCUACGCCCCUCAGUGCCGAAGGUAACCCAUUAAGCACUCCGCCUGGGGAGUACGGCCGCAAGGCUGAAACUCAAAGGAAUUGACGGGGGCCCGCACAAGCGGUGGAGCAUGUGGUUUAAUUCGAAGCAACGCGAAGAACCUUACCAGGGCUUGACAUCCCGCUGACCCCUCCAGAGAUGGAGGUUUCCUUCGGGACAGCGGUGACAGGUGGUGCAUGGUUGUCGUCAGCUCGUGUCGUGAGAUGUUGGGUUCAGUCCCGCAACGAGCGCAACCCUUGUCGUUAGUUGCCAGCAUUUCGGAUGGGCACUCUAACGAGACAGCCGGUGAAAGCCGGAGGAAGGUGGGGAUGACGUCAAAUCAUCAUGCCCCUUAUGUCCUGGGCUACACACGUGCUACAAUGGCUGGUACAAAGGGCAGCGAACCCGCGAGGGGGAGCCAAUCCCAAAAAGCCAGUCUCAGUUCGGAUCGCAGGCUGCAACUCGCCUGCGUGAAGCCGGAAUCGCUAGUAAUCG
rnacentral:rRNA from 1 species